rnacentral:tRNA from 5 species
GGAGAGAUGGUCGAGCUGGCUUAAGGCACCGGUCUUGAAAACCGGCGUACCUUUACGGGUACCGUGGGUUCAAAUCCCACUCUCUCCGCCA